rnacentral:rRNA from 1 species
UACAGAGGUCUCAAGCGUUGUUCGGAUUCAUUGGGCGUAAAGGGCGCGUAGGCGGUCUGUUAAGUUCGGUGUGAAAGCCCCCCGGCUCACCUGGGGAACUGCGCCGGAAACCGACAGACUCGAGUACCGGAGAGGAGGGUGGAAUUCCUGGUGUAGCGGUGGAAUGCGCAGAUAUCAGGAGGAACACCGGUGGCGAAGGCGGGUCUCUGGGCAGUAACUGACGCUGAGGAGCGAAAGCGUGGGGAGCGAACAGG